CGUACGAACGUUAUUCGGAAUCACUGGGCUUAAAGGGUGCGUAGGCGGCGCGGAAAGUAGGGUGUGAAAUCCCUCGGCUCAACCGAGGAACUGCGCCCUAAACUACCGUGCUCGAGGGAGAUAGAGGUGAGCGGAACUUAGGGUGGAGCGGUGAAAUGCGUAGAUAUCCGAAGGAACAUCAGUGGCGAAAGCGGCUUCCUGGACCAGAACUGACGAUCAGGCACGAAAGCGUGGGGAGCAAACAGG
rnacentral:rRNA from 1 species